rnacentral:lncRNA from 1 species
GGUAUCCCACUCAGAUCUAUCAAGACAUGUGGUGACCAACACUUCUUCAUAUGAUUAUCCAAUCGUUGAUGUCUGCUUCAGAUUCAAAUCUUUCAAAUAACUUAAGAGUGUUACUACCCAUGUAAUGUAGGUGGGAAUGGCUUAACCGAAGGUUAUCAUCACAAUGGGCUGCGCUAAGAAGCCAAUGGAUGAUGUUUUACAGAAGUGUUUGUGUUGGCCCAGCUCCCUGUUAAAUUAAUCCCAGAAUAGAAAAUAAUUGAUAAACAGAGAUUUUCACAAAACAAAAUGGAUAAACACUUUUAUAUAUUGUGUUAAAAAGGAUGGAGCAAAUUAUGGAUCACUCUAUGUUCCUUUGUUGCAGAAACUCAGUAAACACAGGAAAUUUAUACGGUUCUAGUUGCAAGUAUAAACUGAAGAUGUUGGUUUCGGUUGCAAGUAUG